GACGAACGCUGGCGGCGUGCUUAACACAUGCAAGUCGAACGGAAAGGCCCUGCUUGUGUGGCGUGCUCGAGUGGCGAAAGGGUGAGUAACACGUGAGUAACCUGCCCUUGACUUUGGGAUAACUUCAGGAAACUGGGGCUAAUACCGGAUAGGAGCUCCUGCUGCAUGGGGGGGGUUGGAAAGUUUCGGCGGUUGGGGAUGGACUCGCGGCUUAUCAGCUUGUUGGUGGGGUAGUGGCUUACCAAGGCUUUGACGGGUAGCCGGCCUGAGAGGGUGACCGGCCACAUUGGGACUGAGAUACGGCCCAGACUCCUACGGGAGGCAGCAGUGGGGAAUAUUGCACAAUGGGCGGAAGCCUGAUGCAGCAACGCCGCGUGCGGGAUGACGGCCUUCGGGUUGUAAACCGCUUUCGCCUGUGACGAAGCGUGAGUGACGGUAAUGGGUAAAGAAGCACCGGCUAACUACGUG
rnacentral:rRNA from 1 species